UACGACUACAUAUCAGGCAUAUCAAUAAGCGGAGGAAAAGAGACUAACAAGGAUUCCCCUAGUAACGGCGAGUGAAGCGGGAAGAGCUCAAAUUUGAAAUCUUAAAGGGUUUCCCUUUACGAAUUGUAGUUUAAAGAAGUGUUUUCUGUUGGAGUUUCGGUAAAAGUUCUUUGGAAUAGGACAUCAUAGAGGGUGAGAAUCCCGUAUUUGACCGUUACUUUCCAGCUGUGUGAUACACUUUCAAAGAGUCGGAUUGUUUGGGAAUGCAGUCCAAGAUGGGUGGUAAAUUUCAUCUAAAGCUAAAUAUUGGCGAGAGACCGAUAGCGAACAAGUACCGUGAGGGAAAGAUGAAAAGAACUUUGAAAAGAGAGUUAAACAGUACGUGAAAUUGUCAAAAGGGAAGCGUUUGACACCAGUGUUGUUUAGUUGAAAAUCAAUUCAAUAGUUUUUGAUUCUAAGUAGUAUUGACUUCAUCAGCUUGCUGCUUUCUUCUCAGAAAUUAUUGAAUGCACUUUUCAGUUAACAAGUCAACAUCAAUUUCUUUUGUUGUAAAAGGGUAAGAGGAAGGUGGCUUGCGCUUCGGCUCAAGUGUUUAUAGCCUUUUAUCUCUGCAAUCGGAGAGAUUGAGGUCUGCAGCGUAGAUCCUUCGGGGUUAGAUACAUUGGUGCUAAGCUAUAGCCUUGUAUAGACAACUUGUUGACUAUGCUCAGUCAUGUAGCUUACUCGCUGAUGCUAUUUUACCUACGCUUAGGAUGUUGAUCUACAGAGCGAGAGU
rnacentral:rRNA from 1 species